rnacentral:rRNA from 2 species
UGGGGAAUAUUGGACAAUGGGGGGAACCCUGAUCCAGCCAUGCCGCGUGUGUGAAGAAGGCCUUAUGGUUGUAAAGCACUUUAAGCGAGGAGGAGGCUACUGAGACUAAUACUCUUGGAUAGUGGACGUUACUCGCAGAAUAAGCACCGGCUAACUCUGUGCCAGCAGCCGCGGUAAUACAGAGGGUGCGAGCGUUAAUCGGAUUUACUGGGCGUAAAGCGUGCGUAGGCGGCUUUUUAAGUCGGAUGUGAAAUCCCCGAGCUUAACUUGGGAAUUGCAUUCGAUACUGGGAAGCUAGAGUAUGGGAGAGGAUGGUAGAAUUCCAGGUGUAGCGGUGAAAUGCGUAGAGAUCUGGAGGAAUACCGAUGGCGAAGGCAGCCAUCUGGCCUAAUACUGACGCUGAGGUACGAAAGCAUGGGGAGCAAACAGG